rnacentral:lncRNA from 1 species
CAGAAUAGCUUAUUUUAUCUUCUUGCUGUGUGCAGCAGCAAUGUCUGUCAUGGUGCUUUCCCAGUAGCCACAAAUUAAAGCAUGCCACUUAAGCAGAGUGAUCGUGUGAGUGUCACCCUCAGCACCUGAGGCUCAACCUGGUGUUUCUUCUCUGGCUGUUAGAGGACCCGAGGUUAUUACUGACAAGGUAGCUCAGACAAUAAAUAGAUACGAAUGUACCUUUUUCUACAUGCAACGAGAAAUUUUGAAAGGACCUAAACCACAGCUGAAGACAAAAGCAGGCUAAUGUAAUGAAUGGGAAAGAACCGUGAACAGCUCUGGGACUUGUGUGUAGAUUAUCUGUCUGGCAGGAUAUUCACUGGUCCUUUUGGUUUGUUUUCCUAUUAACUAAAGGCAAAGCUGAACAAUUACUUCCCUGCGUGUUGCUCUGUGCCUGCAUCGCGCUCCUGUCCCCACUGCACUCCCCUGGUGCUGGCAGCACGGGUGGUUAAUAUUAGCCACAUAGCUGAUUGUCCCGGUUGGUGCCCUGCAACAGCUGCGGGACGGCCGCCCGUGCUGGAAUCCCGCCCGGACCGAUGCUGGUGCUGGCACAAGCCCUUCCCAUUAUAUCAGGAAGGACCAUGUCCCGUUGCCACGAUGCGCCGGCACCCCAGGCUGGCCCCAGCUGUCUGCGGGACGUGGAGCAGGACGACAAGCACCCAGGGAGGCUGCUGCAGGAAGAAGCACACUGUGAUUGCUCUGAAGUGGGAAGACGGGAGGUUCCUGGAUGGGACUUACAGCUGUCUCUAUGAGGUUAACUAUGAUGCAUCAAGCCCUCUGAAGGACCAGCAUGGAGAUUGGCACUCUGAACUGUUAAUGGGGACAUGGGACUCACGUUGCCGUUGA